rnacentral:rRNA from 1 species
CAGUUCGGACUGUAGGCUGCAACUCGCCUACACGAAGUCGGAAUCGCUAGUAAUCGCGGAUCAGCAUGCCGCGGUGAAUACGUUCCCGGGCCUUGUACACACCGCCCGUCACACCAUGGGAGCCGGUAAUACCCGAAGUCAGUAGUCCAACCUCGUGAGGACGCUGCCGAAGGUAGGAUUGGCGACUGGGGUGAAGUCGUAACAAGGUACC